AAGGUAGAGAGAUGACAACUAAUUCAGUCAUGAUGAAAAUGAGGGAUCAAAAUAAUUCUACCGGCUCUGUCAGGCAUUCUUCCCAUCGAAAAGAUCUCCCACCUCCACCUCCACUGGCAAAGCCCAGUUUCUCGCAGCCAGUCAUCACCAUGGAUGCACAACAGCUCACUGCUUUGAUACAGCAAAUAAAAAUACUGACGGAGAUGGUGCAUAGCUUUCAACAGCAACAAACAUAGCAACAGCAGUAACAACUGACGGCGGAGGAGCCAGCGGCGCGUACAAUGU
rnacentral:lncRNA from 1 species